CAUGAACCAUGUCAACUCACAGAUUUUCCUUUCUACCUCCAAUUACCUUUCUCCUGAACCUUCUACCAUCAUCUGCUCUUCACCCACAAGUAUCCCAAGCCCCUCAACCUUCGGGGAGGGAGCCAGAUUUGAAGUUUGUUCACCCCUCACACUUGGGGGCCUCCUGAAUAAGCUUUGCCUCUUCUGCAAAGCUCAGCAUCUCACUGGACAACAGAGGCAGACUUGACCCAGCCUGAACUCAAUUUUCUGGCGAUUUGGAAGCGAGGGCCUGCUUGUGGAGCAGAUUAACAGGCGAUGGCAGUAAAGCUGGCUUAAGGCAGGAGGCAGGUGCUGCUUGAGUGUGGCUUACAUGAGCUUGUUUACAAGCUGCAAAGGACCCAGGAAAGAAAGACUCCUAGAGGGCAGGGGGCAGUUACUCUACUGCAUGCGACAUUCCUACAGCUUCUUCCAAGAGGUGGGCUAGUCCAACCCUGAGCUCCUGGAGGGGGUAAGUGCCUGCCCCGCACCCCCUGCCCCGUUCUUCAUUCCUGCACCUGGCACAGAGCCCUCUUGCAGGGGCCCAGGGCAGAACAGGAAGCAGAUCCCUUCCUUGGGAGCCUGGACAUGAGAACACUAGGGUUGAAAGUGGGCAAGCAGGAGUUCGGAACAGCCGUCCAAUUGCUCCUCUCUCCCCAAAGCCGCAAACAGGCUACCUCCUGUACAGAUCCAAUUUAGGGAAGAGACAAGGGCUGCCACCUUCUCUGGUGGCUCAGUGGUAAGGAAUCUGCCUGCCAAUGCAAGAGAUGUGGGUUCGAUCCCUGGGUCGGGAAGACCACUUGGAAAAGGAAAUGGUAACCCACUCCAGUAUUCUUGCCUGGGAAACCUCACAGAGUGGCCUGGGGGGGCCAUGGGGUCACAAAGACUGACAACUCAGCACACACGCACAUAGAAUUUAAGAGUUCAAUUGAGUGCGUGUGCUACCCUAUCUCUGCCUUAGUCAGACACUGUGGAGUUGGGCUAGCGAGAGGAAGUGGCCACAGCCUUUCAGGUUGCUUUUUUUAAAUCAGGGCUCUUCUAGACCUGACUACCACUUGCACGCUCGUGUGCAACAAGGGCUGAGGUCAAGCAUGCCCAGGGUGAAGUGGAACCUUGUAGGGCUAUUGGGGCCACUAUGAGGAAAGCAGGAGCGACUCCCAUCUUGAAGCUUAUCUCUCUUAAGGACAGGAUGUGAACUGGGCCUGAACUCUGCCCAACAAUGAGGAAAGCGAUGCUAACAAAAACCAGGUCUCCUGGAGACUUCCCUCCCUAUCGAUGGCAAAUGGAGACUGUAGUUGAGGUCAGGCUGCUCCUGUGAGAUUUAACCAUGGAGACAUCCCCAUGAUGUAUAAUCAUUAUUCCCCCAUAACCUUAAUUGUUUGUUCUCCUAGCACCUGCUUGUUGUAAAACUCAAGUCAUAAGACAAAGGAGGUUGCUAACAUGUAACCAGUCACAUAGCAAGGGGUAUAAAAGUCUCAAACAUCAGGGUCCUUGUUGGGAACCGAUUCCCCUUGGACCUGCUGGCAUCAUGAACUGUACUCCAAUGUCUUGAGUGUCCUCCGAAGUGUGUUUCACGACUCUAGAUUCCACAACAGGGCCACACGUUAAGCCUUUUUUUUUUUUCUUACUACAAAUCAGCUGGCAGAACUGAAGGGGAGAGGGCCUCCUCAUACACAUACCUGGAGCCAAAUGAACGGUUUCUCUCCAAGUUACCCAACUCAGGUAAUUGCAACCAGUUUCCCCCAAAGCCAGCCUAGGGGUUUUCCUGAAGAAAGUUUGAAGGAGUAUGCCCCAAAGGGUGCGUUUUUAAGAGAUGCUGUUUUACACACUUUGGAAUUCAAUGUGGAUUCAGGUGAUGCUCUCGUGACUCACCUCCAGAGGGCAGAUCGGCAGCUUCCCUUAGCUUAUCUGGUGGGCCCUUUGUUAAAUAUUGCAAAAACUGUUGGCAGGGCAGGCAAAUUGGAUUAACCCAGCAGGCACAGCAUCGUAUGUUAAAUGCUGUUUAUGUACAGUUUGGGCUUCCCAGAUGGAUCAGUGGUCAAGAGUCAGCCUGCUGAUGCAGGAGACGGAGGUUUGAUCCCUGGGUCAGGAAGAUCCCCGGGAGGGGGAAACAGAAACCCACUCUAGUACUCUUUGCCUGGAGAAUCCCAUGGACAGAGGAGCUGGGCUGGCAAGAGUGAGGGGCUGUGGUCUGGCGGGUUACCCAGUCUGAGCAAGGCUCUUCGGAGCUGACUGCCACUUGUUAAGAAAGGGGUCAUCUCUCCCAUUAUCUGCAGUUGGAAGUCUCCCCAGGCAGAGAAAAAAGACUGGAGUGGGAGGCGACAGAAUAUUAACCAGAGAUUCGGGCAUCCAAGAGUCCAGGUGAAGAAUGUGGCGGUUGUGGGUGGGUAGAUGAGUUUUCUGGCCAGUAUAGCCAGAGAUGGGGCCGCUGAUCACUGCAGGAAGGGACAGCACGGAGGAGCCGUCUUGUGCAAUGGGAGAAGGCGAGGUUGCCUGGUCUCAGCUGGCAUUAGGUCCAGUCCUGGUAGGUGUCUCUGGGACACUCCCGAGGUGCCAGGGAGGCAGUUUCAGAAAUGAGGGGGUCAGAAGUGGCUGGGCGACACAGCAGUCACAGACUGGGGUACAGUUGUGUUUGAGGGUCCCCACCGGAGACUAAGAGUACAUUGACACUUGUAUUAAAGGUGUGGGUGAGGAGUGGGAGAGCCCAAGGUGGGUUAGUAACAGCUGAUACCAACUCAAGGAUGGCUGAUCCCUUACAGCUGAGAUAAACCAAGCUAGGAUCACCCCAGGGAAACAGCACCCCUUGUCCCUCUUCCUUCCAACCCCUGAAACUCCCUGACAAGUCAUGUUUUCUGUGACCUGAUUUUUAUAGCAAAGGCCCGCAUCCCUAACCCCCAGCCAAACUCAAGUCCCCAUACCAACCUAACUUCCUCCUAAGCUAUCGAGUCUAGCUUCCUGCAGGGGUUGGAACUUAGCUUUAAGUUUGCUGUAUGGUCUCAUUUAUCGAGUCUAAGAAGGUUUUACCCCCAUGCAUAAGGGUUAUCUGCUUUCAAAGGGCUUAAGGUUAAUGCUUUAGUUUUAGAGUCAGUCCUUCCGUUACACAGAUGCCUGAGGGGGUGAAAAGUUAGCACACCUGAUCUUAAUCCCAGUCCCAAUUCUCAGAUGAUUACAGCCCUCACCUGUAGACCACUCCUUUUCCCUUUGUUCUGGCAACAUCUCUAGGGUGGUUCAGUUCACAAGACUACCUUCACAGAUACUCUUUCUGAAUUGAGGACUGCACAUGGGGUCUGGGGUCAGCCAUUUGAGUACCCUGUGCCAGGGACACACUCCAGAUAACAGGGAUAUCAAGAAGGUAUUUGUCGAGGAUGGAAGUUUUCGAUUCAGUCAGGUGGUCAGGGUAGGGGGUUUUCCCUGAAUAAACAACAUGCAUUUAAGUACUUUUGAGUAAUUCCAGGUAGCCAACAGAGGUUACAGAAGCCCUGGAGGCAAGAGCAAGGCUGGGGCAUUCGUGGAAUACCCAGGAAGCUGAGGUGCUGCAGAAAACAAAGAGGGAGCAGAGCUGAAAGUGGAGAGUAAGAUAGUCUCAUGGAAACCUGAGACCUAGCACAUAGGGCUCAGUAGGCCAUUUUUAUGGCUUAUAGCUUGAACUUUUGAGAUCGAGCACCUACAGGUUUGAGAGUAAGGAACAGAUUUCAUUUUCAGUUUUAAAACAGGCUGCAGCCUGAAGAGCAGAGGUGAAGGUGGGGCAGGGUAGGAGCAGAUACCUAGAGACCAGAUAGGACACACCUGUGUUCACACAGGUGCGCCUUCAAGGCUCUGCAGGACUAUUCAGUAAAGACACAUGGACCUGGAUGCAAUUCAAAAAUAGAGCCAACCCAGGUACAACGUCCCCUGCAACUCCGGAAGAUUUCCCAAGAGAGCCAGAGGCAAGGAUAGCAUGGCCCCCAGGAGGUCGCACAGGCCUGGCCGAGGAAGACACACUGACCACCUCGCUCUGGAAGCUUCCACCGCGAGCAAUUCCUUAUAAUCAGUACAUCGAUUCCUAUGUCUGACGCCAAGAUCUUUAUUAUGUUUUUUCUAUUUUUCUAUGUUGAAAAUUUUCAAAGCUUCAAAUGAGUAAAGGUUAAGCAUAAAAAAUUUUUCCAGAAAGGAUCACCCUGAGGUUUUUGAGUUUACGUUUAACCCUCCUCUACCCUCGUCCCCGCAAACCCCGAGGCAGUACCGAACUUGCUUUUCCCCUAGCAACGAGGCGCUGCUUCAGCCUUACAAGUUGAAGUUCCCCCUUCUGCUUUCAUUAGGAAAUAAGCACUAUUUUUUUUUUUUUUUUUUAGAACCUACAUCCCUCCCCCUUCUGCUCUUGGGUUCCUAGUUUCCUAAAAAGUUUUUGAGAGAGCUCGGGCCCUGCAAAGCACAUCCCUAAAACUCCUCCUACAGCUCCUUUUUGCGAGGAAGGGCGACUACCAGUUAAACAUGCUUUGAAGGAGAAAGCAAGAAAAAGAACUCUUCUGUUUGCAAAACCCAAGCAGGACGCCCACUGGGCUGAAAAGCUGGCAGCUCGGUAAACGCCCGCCACGCAAACACAAGCCUUAUCCUGGAGCUCCGGUGAUUUCACCGCCCGCAAAACUUCAGCAAAAAAAAAAAAAAAAAAAAUCAACUUCCUUAGCCCACCCUUCCCCACUACUACCCGAGCCACCCAACGUCCUCCCGCCGGCUCCCAGGCACAUUCUGAC
ensembl:lncRNA